GGGGAGAGAGGAAGUUUUAGAAGGGAUUUUGAGGGAUGGGAGAGCUAGCUUCAUGCUUCGGGAAGGAGAAAAAAGACAGAGAAUUGGUUUUUUUUUCUUCAUAGGGUUUUGGGAAGACUGAGGCAAUCGUUGCUGAAGUCAGUGUUGUAAUGGUGAAUCGGGAUUUUUAAUGAAGUGGAUUUGAUUACUCUUGACUGUUUUGUGAAAUCGAGUUAUGUCUGUGAUUGAAGAAUUAAAAGGGUGUCUAUAGGAUUGAGUAUGCGGAGUGAAUGAAAUUUAUUGGGUUAAUUUAACAAGACAGUCAGUGGAUACAAGAUC
rnacentral:lncRNA from 1 species